rnacentral:rRNA from 1 species
UACGUAGGGUGCGAGCGUUAAUCGGAAUUACUGGGCGUAAAGCGUGCGCAGGCGGUUUUGUAAGCCAGAUGUGAAAUCCCCGGGCUUAACCUGGGAAUGGCAUUUGGGACUGCAAGGCUCGAGUGCGGCAGAGGAGACUGGAAUUCCUGGUGUAGCAGUGAAAUGCGUAGAUAUCAGGAGGAACACCGAUGGCGAAGGCAAUCCCCUGGACCUGUACUGACGCUCAUGCACGAAAGCGUGGGG